rnacentral:rRNA from 1 species
AUUGAACGCUGGCGGCAUGCCUUACACAUGCAGGUCGAACGGGCUUUGGGGCUUGCUCCAAAGUUAGUGGCGAACGGGUGAGUAAUAUAUCGGAACGUACCCUUGAGUGGGGAUAACUAGUCGAAAGACUGGCUAAUACCGCAUACGAUCUACGGAUGUAAGUGGGGGACCGCAAGGCCUCAUGCUCGUGGAGUGGCCGAUAUCUGAUUAGCUAGUUGGUGGGGUAAAAGCCUACCAAGGCGCCGAUCAGUAGCUGGUAUGAGCGGACGAUCAGCCACACAGGGACUGAGACACGGCCCAGACUCCUACGGGAGGCAGCAGUGGGGAAUUUUGGACAAUGGGCGAAAGCCUGAUCCAGCAAUGCCGCGUGAGUGAAGAAGGCCUUCGGGUUGUAAAGCUAUUUUGUCAGGGAAGAAACGGUGGGGGCUAAUAUCCCUUGCUAAUGACGGUACCUGAAGAAUAAGCACCGGCUAACUACGUGCCAGCCGCCGCCGUAAUAC